UACAGAGGGUGCAAGCGUUGUUCGGAAUUAUUGGGCGUAAAGGGCGCGUAGGCGGUGCGGUAAGUCACCUGUGAAACCUCUGGGCUUAACUCAGAGCCUGCAGGCGAAACUGCCGUGCUUGAGUGUGGGAGAGGUGCGUGGAAUUCCCGGUGUAGCGGUGAAAUGCGCAGAUAUCAGGAGGAACACCGGCGGCGAAGGCGGGUCUCUGGGCCAUAACUGACGCUGAGGAGCGAAAGCGUGGGGAGCGAACAGG
rnacentral:rRNA from 1 species